AUUGAACGCUGGCGGCAUGCCUUACACAUGCAAGUCGAACGGCAGCAUAGGAGCUUGCUCCUGAUGGCGAGUGGCGAACGGGUGAGUAAUAUAUCGGAACGUGCCCUAGAGUGGGGGAUAACUAGUCGAAAGACUAGCUAAUACCGCAUACGAUCAACGGAUGAAAGUGGGGGACCGCAAGACCUCAUGCCCCUGGAGCGGCCGAUAUCUGAUUAGCUAGUUGGUGGGGUAAAAGCCUACCAAGGCAACGAUCAGUAGCUGGUCUGAGAGGACGACCAGCCACACUGGGACUGAGACACGGCCCAGACUCCUACGGGAGGCAGCAGUGGGGAAUUUUGGACAAUGGGGGCAACCCUGAUCCAGCAACGCCGCGUGAGUGAAGAAGGCCUUCGGGUUGUAAAGCUCUUUUGUCAGGGAAGAAACGGUAGUAGCGAAUAACUACUACUAAUGACGGUACCUGAAGAAUAAGCACCGGCUAACUACGUGCCAGCAGCCGCCGUAA
rnacentral:rRNA from 1 species